GAGAAGGUGGCUGAGUGGUUUAAGGCGGUAAACUGUAAAUUUAUUGUAUUUGAUACGACAUAGGUUCGAAUCCUAUUCUUCUCA
rnacentral:tRNA from 1 species